UGGAGCGGGACAACCGAGGAAACUCGGGCUAAUACCGCAUGAUUCGCCGGCACCCAAGUGCCGGCGGGAAAUGGUAGCUUCGGCCUCCGCCAUGGGAUGGGCCCGCGGCGCAUUAGCUUGUUGGUGGGGUAAUGGCUCACCAAGGCGACGAUGCGUAGCUGGUCUGAGAGGACGAUCAGCCACACUGGGACUGAGACACGGCCCAGACUCCUACGGGAGGCAGCAGUGGGGAAUCUUGCGCAAUGGGCGGAAGCCUGACGCAGCAACGCCGCGUGUGGGAAGACGGCCUUCGGGUUGUAAACCACUUUCAGGGGGGACGAAGCUUCCGAGGUUAAUAGCCUACGGGGUGACGGUACCCCCAGAAGAAGCCCCGGCUAAACUAACGUUGCCAAGCAGCCGCGGUAAUACGUAGGGGGCGAGCGUUGUCCGGAAUCAUUGGGCGUAAAGCGCGUGUAGGCGGCUCGGUAAGUCCGGUGUGAAAACCUUGGGGCUCAACCCCAAGCAUGCACUGGAUACUGUCGAGCUCGAGUCCGGGAGGGGAGAGCGGAAUUCCUAGUGUACCGGUGAAAUGCGCAGAUAUUAGGAAGAACACCGGUGGCGAAGGCGGCUCUCUGGAACGGUACUGACGCUGAGACGCGAAAGCGUGGGGAGCGAACAGGAUUAGAUACCCUUGGUAGUCCACGCCGUAAACGAUGGGCACUAGGUGUGGUCGGUGUCGACUCCGUCCGUGUCGAAGCUAACGCAU
rnacentral:rRNA from 1 species